AACCCAUAAUGAGGGCACAUUCUCAAAAGAUUUGUAAAUCUCUCCUGUGCAUCAUAUAAUGUCUCCAAUUCAAUUUGAGCAAAAGAAGAGAUAUCAUUCCUCAACUU
rfam:Gossypium hirsutum cultivar TM-1 chromosome 2, whole genome shotgun sequence